rnacentral:misc_RNA from 1 species
AUGCCUGUUCGAGCGUCAUUAUGACCAAUCAAGCCUGGCUUGGUGUUGGGGUUCGCGGUUCCGCGGCCCUUAAAAUCAGUGGCGGUGCGUCUGGCUCUAAGCGUAGUAAUUUUCUCGCUAUGGAGUCCAGGUGGUUACCUGCCAGAAUCCCCCAUCUCACGGUUGACCUCGGAUCAGGUAGGGAUACCCGCUGAACUUAA